GGAGGAGUGGCUGAGUGGUCGAAAGCGGCGGUCUUGAAAACCGUUGUACCGUAUGGUACCGUGGGUUCGAAUCCUACCUCCUCCG
rnacentral:tRNA from 1 species